rnacentral:rRNA from 1 species
AGAACGAACGCUGGCGGCAUGCCUAACACAUGCAAGUCGAACGAGACCUUCGGGUCUAGUGGCGCACGGGUGCGUAACGCGUGGGAAUCUGCCCUUGGGUACGGAAUAACAGUUAGAAAUGACUGCUAAUACCGUAUAAUGACUUCGGUCCAAAGAUUUAUCGCCCAGGGAUGAGCCCGCGUAGGAUUAGCUUGUUGGUGAGGUAAAGGCUCACCAAGGCGACGAUCCUUAGCUGGUCUGAGAGGAUGAUCAGCCACACUGGGACUGAGACACGGCCCAGACUCCUACGGGAGGCAGCAGUGGGGAAUAUUGGACAAUGGGCGAAAGCCUGAUCCAGCAAUGCCGCGUGAGUGAUGAAGGCCUUAGGUUGUAAAGUCUCGUUUUACCGGGAUGAUAAUGACAGUACCGGAGAAUAAGCUCCGGCUAACUCCGUACCAGCAGCCGAC